GCUUGAAGUCUAGUGAUUGCUUGAUGAAGGAAAAAGCAUUGGCCUAAGCUUGAGGUGGAAACCUUUGAUUCUUGUGAAAUCAAGAAUUGGGUAAUUUUGGUGUAUAAAGUGUGAUUGGUUGGCUUGCUUAUGUGGCAAGAAAGCUUGGCAAAAAGGAAGUUUGCUUAAGGUACUACUCUCUGGGCAAGAGGCUCGAGUAGGUUUGUGGGAGAUUCAUAUUUUGAGAUAUGCAUCAUGUUGAUAUUUAUGUAUAAGAUUUAAUUGAUGAUGUAUAAUCGUAUAUUUUGUAUAGCUUUCGUUAUUUGAGA